rnacentral:rRNA from 1 species
GACGAACGCUGGCGGCGUGCUUAACACAUGCAAGUCGAACGGUAAGGCCCUUCGGGGUACACGAGUGGCGAACGGGUGAGUAACACGUGGGUGAUCUGCCCUGCACUUCGGGAUAAGCCUGGGAAACUGGGUCUAAUACCGGAUAGGACCACUGCCUGCAUGGGUGGUGGUGGAAAGCUUUUGCGGUGUGGGAUGGGCCCGCGGCCUAUCAGGGUGUUGGUGGGGUGAUGGCCUACCAAGGCGACGACGGGUAGCCGGCCUGGGAGGGUAACAGGGCACACUGGGACUGAGCUACGGCCCGGGAUCCUACGGGAGGCAGCAGUGGGGAAUAUUGCACAAUGGGCGCAAGCCUGAUACAGCGACGCCGCGUGAGGGAUGACGGCCUUCGGGUUGUAAACCUCUUUCAGCACCGACGAAGCGCAAGUGACGGUAGGUGCAGAAGAAGGACCGGCCAACUACGUGCCAGCAGCCGCAGUAA